GGUGGCUCAGUGGUAGAGUAUUUGCCUUGCAUGCAUAAGGCCCUGGGUUCAAUUCCUCAGCACCA
rnacentral:tRNA from 1 species